rnacentral:rRNA from 1 species
AAGCGUGCGCAGGCGGUUAUAUAAGACAGAUGUGAAAUCCCCGGGCCUCAACCUGGGAACUGCAUUUGUGACUGUAUAGCUGGAGUGCGGCAGAGGGGGAUGGAAUUCCGCGUGUAGCAGUGAAAUGCGUAGAUAUGCGGAGGAACACCGAUGGCGAAGGCAAUCCCCUGGGCCUGCACUGACGCUCAUGCACGAAAGCGUGGGGAGCAAACAGGAUUAGAUACCCGAGU